rnacentral:rRNA from 1 species
GAUGAACGCUGGCGGCGUGCUUAACACAUGCAAGUCGAACGAUGAAGCCCAGCUUGCUGGGUGGAUUAGUGGCGAACGGGUGAGUAACACGUGAGUAACCUGCCCUUAACUCUGGGGUAAGCCUGGGAAACUGGGUCUAAUACCGGAUAGGAGCGUCCACCGCAUGGUGGGUGUUGGAAAGAUUUAUCGGUUUUGGAUGGACUCGCGGCCUAUCAGCUUGUUGGUGAGGUAAUGGCUCACCAAGGCGACGACGGGUAGCCGGCCUGAGAGGGUGACCGGCCACACUGGGACUGAGACACGGCCCAGACUCCUACGGGAGGCAGCAGUGGGGAAUAUUGCACAAUGGGCGCAAGCCUGAUGCAGCGACGCCGCGUGAGGGAUGACGGCCUUCGGGUUGUAAACCUCUUUCAGUAGGGAAGAAGCGAAAGUGACGGUACCUGCAGAAGAAGCACCGGCUAACUACGUGCCAGCAGCCGCGGUAAUACGUAUGGUGCGAGCGUUAUCCGGAAUUAUUGGGCGUAAAGAGCUCGUAGGCGGUUUGUCGCGUCUGUCGUGAAAUCCGGGGCUUAACCCCGGAUCUGCGGUGGGUACGGGCAGACUAGAGUGCAGUAUGGGAGACUGGAAUUCCUGGUGUAGCGGUGGAAUGCGCAAAUAUCAGGAGGAACACCGAUGGCGAAGGCAGGUCUCUGGGCUGUAACUGACGCUGAGGAGCGAAAGCAUGGGGAGCGAACAGGAUUAGAUACCCUGGUAGUCCAUGCCGUAAACGUUGGGCACUAGGUGUGGGGACCAUUCCACGGUUUCCGCGCCGCAGCUAACGCAUUAAGUGCCCCGCCUGGGGAGUACGGCCGCAAGGCUAAAACUCAAAGGAAUUGACGGGGGCCCGCACAAGCGGCGGAGCAUGCGGAUUAAUUCGAUGCAACGCGAAGAACCUUACCAAGGCUUGACAUGUUCUCGAUCGCCGUAGAGAUACGGUUUCCCCUUUGGGGCGGGUUCACAGGUGGUGCAUGGUUGUCGUCAGCUCGUGUCGUGAGAUGUUGGGUUAAGUCCCGCAACGAGCGCAACCCUCGUUCCAUGUUGCCAGCACGUAAUGGUGGGGACUCAUGGGAGACUGCCGGGGUCAACUCGGAGGAAGGUGAGGACGACGUCAAAUCAUCAUGCCCCUUAUGUCUUGGGCUUCACGCAUGCUACAAUGGCCGGUACAAUGGGUUGCGAUACUGUGAGGUGGAGCUAAUCCCAAAAAGCCGGUCUCAGUUCGGAUUGGGGUCUGCAACUCGGCCCCAUGAAGUCGGAGUCGCUAGUAAUCGCAGAUCAGCAACGCUGCGGUGAAAACGUUCCCGGGCCU